CUCUCAGCAGGGCCCCUGGGCAGUGCCCCCCGGACUGUCGCCCCUGAGAACGUGAGGCUGCAGGCUCUCAGGCCCGUCAGCCCGUGAGGCGCCGCCCUCUGCAACCAUGACCUCUC
rnacentral:pre_miRNA from 15 species